UACGUAGGGGGCUAGCGUUGUCCGGAUUUAUUGGGCGUAAAGAGCGUGUAGGCGGCCAGAUAGGUCUGCUGUGAAAACUCGAGGCUCAACCUCGAGAUGUCGGCGGAAACCAUUUGGCUAGAGUCCGGAAGAGGAAAGUGGAAUUCCUGGUGUAGCGGUGAAAUGCGCAGAUAUCAGGAGGAACACCGAUGGCGAAGGCAGGUCUCUGGGCCGAUACUGACGCUGAGGAGCGAAAGCGUGGGGAGCGAACAGG
rnacentral:rRNA from 1 species